CAGCAGCCGCGGGAACACGUAGGGUGCAAGCGUUAAUCGGAAUUACUGGGCGUAAAGCGUGCGCAGGCGGUUCGUUAAGACAGAUGUGAAAUCCCCGGGCUCAACCUGGGAACUGCAUUUGUGACUGGCGGGCUAGAGUAUGGCAGAGGGGGGUAGAAUUCCACGUGUAGCAGUGAAAUGCGUAGGGAUGUGGAGGAAUACCGAUGGCGAAGGCAGCCCCCUGGGCCAAUACUGACGCUCAUGCACGAAAGCGUGGGGAGCAAACAGGAUUAGAUACCCGCGUAGUCCCUGUCUCUUAUAC
rnacentral:rRNA from 1 species